GACAAAUAAGAAUGGUAUUAAGUUGGUAGAAUGGAACUCCUUCCUGAUUCCUGCACAUGUAAGUUACCAGAUACUCUUGAGGGACCAAUUUAAGGGCAAACAGACAAACGUUUUGAUGCAAAGAAAGCAUUGGAUUUGAAAGUUCCCAUGGAGAAGAAAAAUGGAGAGAUUCUAAAAGUAUGAAGAUAUUCCUGUGUAUAAUGAGGAAAUCUUGUCAGUGAAUGUUGUUGCAAUUGUGGACCAGGCCAGAGUUGUACUAAACCAACUAAGACACAAUGAGAUACAGGAAUGACACAAUGAGAAACAGGAAACAGGAAA